AAUGAACGCUGGCGGCAGGCCUAAAACAUGCAAGUCGAACGCCCUAGCAAUAGGGAGUGGCGCACGGGUGAGUAACAUGUGGGAAUAUGCCUUUUGGCACGGAACAACGUUUGGAAACGAACGCUAAUACCGUAUGGUCCCUCCGGGGUAAAGAUUUAUCGCCAAAAGAUUAGCCCGCACUAGAUUAGCUAGUUGGUAAGGUAAUGGCUUACCAAGGCGACGAUCUAUAGCUGUUCUGAGAGGAAGAUCAGCCACACUGGGACUGAGACACGGCCCAGACUCCUACGGGAGGCAGCAGUUAGGAAUAUUUGACAAUGGGCGCAAGCCUGAUCCAGCCAUGCCGCGUGAGUGAUGAAGGCCUUCGGGUUGUAAAGCUCUUUAGCCGACGAAUAUAAUGACUGUAGUCGGAGAAUAAGCCCCGGCUAACUUCGUGCCAGCCGCCGCUGUAACAC
rnacentral:rRNA from 1 species